rnacentral:lncRNA from 1 species
AGUCACAAGAGGCCCUGAGCUCUGUGGGCCCCAGGUGCCCCGGGAAAACUUGGGGGAGAAUGGGCAUCCCACCCCAGCACUUUCUAGGAAGAAGGGCAGCAUUUUGAAGGGCUGGAAGUAGAGGAAGGAGGUUGCGGGUAGAAGACUCCAUACUUUCUGUGACGCCUAUUCCUUAGGUAGGAACUUAGGAACCUCAGGAGAGCCUUUAUAUAACCAAAGAUAUUUUUGGACCAUGAAUUCAGAAAUUCUCGGAGCCACCCAUCAGUGCCUGAGCUUCAGUGAGUCCAUAUCCCAUGUCACCCACGGCAAAGGAGACUCUAAGACUUCUGAAGAGUUUCUUGCUUCUUUCCUGUGGGGCAGUGACUCCACUUCCCAGCAGUAAUGGAAUAUCCUGAAUUAGCUACAUUAAUGUUAGAACCAUUUGGACCUCACCCAGGACUUCAACUACAUUAUGCUAAAGUUACAGAACCCAAAUUUGGCAACUGUCUGCAUCUGAACAACAGAAGUUUCAACAUUCUGCCAACAGAGUAACUCCUGGACGAUUGGCACAGAAGAAGGCACAAGGCAAAUACCCAUCUCUGUACACCCUGUGCUACUGUGUCAUGUGCUGCUCCAGGCAACUCCAAUGGAUUGGCCACCCUGGCCAAUGUGUUCUAGUAUGUUACGUUUAUGUUCCCCUGCUUUCUACAAUCCUGUUCAAAGAGUUGCUGACUUA